CACGUAGGAGGCAAGCGUUAUCCGAAUUUACUGGGCGUAAAGCGCGUGCAGGCGGUUCGGUAAGUUGGAUGUGAAAUCUCCUGGCUCAACUGGGAGAGGUCGUUCAAUACUGUCGGACUAGAGGAUGGUAGAGGGAGGUGGAAUUCCCGGUGUAGUGGUGAAAUGCGUAGAUAUCGGGAGGAACACCAGUGGCGAAAGCGGCCUCCUGGACCAUUCCUGACGCUCAGACGCGAAAGCUAGGGGAGCGAACGGGAUUAGACACCCCGGUAGUCCUAGCUGUAAACGAUGUGGACUUGGCGUCGGUGGGGUAAAAGCCAUCGGUGCCGGAGCUAACGCGGUAAGUCCACCGCCUGGGGACUACGGCCGCAAGGUUAAA
rnacentral:rRNA from 1 species